rnacentral:rRNA from 1 species
UGCGUAGGCGGUUAGGUAAGUCAGAUGUGAAAUUCCAGGGCUCAACCUUGGAACUGCAUUUGAUACUGCUUGACUUGAGUACUGGAGGGGAGACUGGAAUUCACGGUGUAGCAGUGAAAUGCGUAGAUAUCGUGAGGAAGGCCAGCGGCGAAGGCGAGUCUCUGGACAGUUACUGACGCUGAGGCACGAAGGCUAGGGGAGCAAACG